rnacentral:rRNA from 1 species
AGUGAACGCUGGCGGCGUGCUUAACACAUGCAAGUCGAACGAGAACGGAUUAUAGCUUGCUAUAAUUGUCAGCUAAGUGGCGCACGGGUGAGUAAUGUAUAGGUAAUAUGCCUCUUACUAAGGGAUAACAAAUGGAAACGUUUGCUAAUACCUUAUACUCCUUAUUAACAGAAGUUAAUAAGGGAAAGAUUUAUUGGUAAGAGAUUAGCCUGUAUUGUAUCAGUUAGUUGGUGGGGUAAUGGCUUACCAAGACUAUGACACAUAACUGGUUUGAGAGGAUGAUCAGUCACACUGGAACUGAGACACGGUCCAGACUCCUACGGGAGGCAGCAGUGGGGAAUAUUGUACAAUGGACGAAAGUCUGAUGCAGCAACGCCGCGUGGAGGAUGACACAUUUCGGUGCGUAAACUCCUUUUAUAUGAGAAGAUAAUGACGGUAUUAUAUGAAUAAGCACCGGCUAACUCCGUGCCAGCCGCCGCCGUAAAAC